CUACGGGUGGCUGCAGUGAGGAAUAUUGCACAAUGGGGGGAACCCUGAUGCAGCAACGCCGCGUGGAGGAUGACGCAUUUCGGUGUGUAAACUCCUUUUAUAUGUCAAGAAAAUGACGGUAGCAUAUGAAUAAGCACUGGCUAACUCCGGCCAGCAGCCGCGGUAAUACGGAGGGUGCAAGCGUUACUCGGAAUCACUGGGCGUAAAGGACGCGUAGGCGGGUUGGAAAGUCAGGUGUGAAAUCCUACAGCUUAACUGUAGAACUGCACUUGAAACUUCUAAUCUAGAGUAUGGGAGGGGGGGAUGGAAUUAGUGGUGUAGGGGUAAAAUCCGUAGAUAUCACUAGGAAUACCUAAAGCGAAGGCGAUCUCCUGGAACAUUACUGACGCUAAGGCGUGAAAGCGUGGGGAGCAAACAGGAUUAGAUACCCCCGUAGUC
rnacentral:rRNA from 1 species